GGGGAUAUGGCGAAAUUGGUAGACGCUACGGACUUAA
rnacentral:tRNA from 105 species